UGCAGUCGAGCGGAACGAGUUAUCUGAACCUUCGGGGGACGAUAACGGCGUCGAGCGGCGGACGGGUGAGUAAUGCCUAGGAAAUUGCCCUGAUGUGGGGGAUAACCAUUGGAAACGAUGGCUAAUACCGCAUAAUGCCUACGGGCCAAAGAGGGGGACCUUCGGGCCUCUCGCGUCAGGAUAUGCCUAGGUGGGAUUAGCUAGUUGGUGAGGUAAUGGCUCACCAAGGCGACGAUCCCUAGCUGGUCUGAGAGGAUGAUCAGCCACACUGGAACUGAGACACGGUCCAGACUCCUACGGGAGGCAGCAGUGGGGAAUAUUGCACAAUGGGCGCAAGCCUGAUGCAGCCAUGCCGCGUGUGUGAAGAAGGCCUUCGGGUUGUAAAGCACUUUCAGUCGUGAGGAAGGUAGUGUAGUUAAUAGCUGCAUUACUUGACGUUAGCGACAGAAGAAGCACCGGCUAACUCCGUGCCAGCAGCCGCGGUAAUACGGAGGGUGCGAGCGUUAAUCGGAAUUACUGGGCGUAAAGCGCAUGCAGGUGGUUUGUUAAGUCAGAUGUGAAAGCCCGGGGCUCAACCUCGGAAUAGCAUUUGAAACUGGCAGACUAGAGUACUGUAGAGGGGGGUAGAAUUUCAGGUGUAGCGGUGAAAUGCGUAGAGAUCUGAAGGAAUACCGGUGGCGAAGGCGGCCCCCUGGACAGAUACUGACACUCAGAUGCGAAAGCGUGGGGAGCAAACAGGAUUAGAUACCCUGGUAGUCCACGCCGUAAACGAUGUCUACUUGGAGGUUGUGGCCUUGAGCCGUGGCUUUCGGAGCUAACGCGUUAAGUAGACCGCCUGGGGAGUACGGUCGCAAGAUUAAAACUCAAAUGAAUUGACGGGGGCCCGCACAAGCGGUGGAGCAUGUGGUUUAAUUCGAUGCAACGCGAAGAACCUUACCUACUCUUGACAUCCAGAGAACUUUCCAGAGAUGAAUUGGUGCCUUCGGGAACUCUGAGACAGGUGCUGCAUGGCUGUCGUCAGCUCGUGUUGUGAAAUGUUGGGUUAAGUCCCGCCACCGAGCGCAACCCUUAUCCUUGUUUGCCAGCCAGUA
rnacentral:rRNA from 1 species